UAAUAGAUCACCAAUUUUAGUUAAUAAUUUUAUGCUAUACUCUUGGGUGAGGGAAGACUCGGACACUCAAUAUGAGAUCAGCAAGCUAUGUUUAUUGCAGAGAGUAUCAGACAGUUAUACAGCACAUAAUAAGCUUAUGAAUAUUCUGUAAGCCAAGCGAUCUAUUGGUUAAACUAUACCAUCAACUCUUCCUCAUUCCUUUGGGCCUACAUUCCCUAUUUCCCACGUCUCUCUGUCUACUUGUUAUCCUACCCAGCUAGGCCCAGGCACACGCUAUCUUGCAGGUGCAAAACUCAAAAAUACCUGUGUUCGGUACUUUCCCAGCUCCUGGUCGGCUAACGAGCGAAUGUCUGCGUGACCUCUGUCAUGGAGCCAUUUCUCCACACUAUACUAUCAAAGUUUAAAGGUAAAUUAUUAUAUAUUAGGAGAUGGUGUAAAGUGUAUGUUGUAAUGUGUAGGAUAUAUACAAAGAUACGUACUUGAAAGUCCGUAGAGGAAACAAAUUUUUACGCCUUCUGUUUGACUGUUUGUCAUAUAUUUGGUUUUAUUUCCCAGGGAUCAGUGAAUUUUAACUCUGGAGUCCUCUAUGCUAAGGAUGCUCAGCUUACAGAUGACGAAAUGUUCAGUAAUGGUGAGUUUUUCACCUUCUCCUUCAUUGUUUUGCUCAUCUGAAUAAAAAAAAAAAAGGCAAGAUUAAAGAAAAAGCAAUAGUUUUAUUAUUUUUACCCUGUUAUGUCUGUUUCCUCAGUAUUUGCUGGAGCUGUGCUUACCCAGGGUUUGGGUAAAACAAGCUUUGGGUUCCUUCUGUCUCACUGGGAGUUGCCCAAUUCAGUUGCAUCUGGUGAAAUUCACCCUGAGACCUUACAGAACCAGCUCCAACUACGUGAGAGCCAUUUGCAGUUCUCUCCAGACACCUGGAGAAUGGGCGACGUUUCUGAGGAUCCGGCGAGCGUGCUUCUGUCCAAACUCAGUCUUUGAAAUUCCUGGGGAAAACCCUUCUGUGUCCUGAAGGGUUCAAACUCUGGCGAGGAUCCAGUUAUCAGGGGCUCACCUGGAUGGUUCCAGCUGCCAAAGGGAAAGACUCUCGUAUCCUUGUCGUCGGGCUCGGUGCUGUCCAAGAAGAUACAGAGACUAAAAAAAUCAUAAGAAGCAAAAUAUGACUGCAGGGAAAAGAAGCUGGAGAGAACAGAAGACUCAUCACGGCAGGACAGCGUGAGGACUGAAAGUGUAAGAAGAUGUGGAGGGAAACAGAGAAUCUGACAGGAGCAGCGAACGCACGAGUGCACGAAUUUUGCUUUUUGCUUGGAUG